GUGUCCACGUUGUUGCUGUCGCGUGUCAACGGUUAUACAACGGUGUUACUAAAAUAUUUUUAUUUCUGUUUUAAGUAGUAUGGUGCGUGUGUGGCAGUACUCACGUUGGACAAUGUUCCAGAAGAACUUUUCGUCUAGUUGAACUAUCUGCUUGAGUUGUCCAUUUCGGCACAUCCAGUCUGCGACUGUGAGCUACAGGUCUGCACGGUGGAGAGGGGCUUCCCCACG